rnacentral:rRNA from 1 species
GACGAACGCUGGCGGCGUGCCUAAUACAUGCAAGUCGAACGCACGAAGUUGAAGAGCUUGCUCUUUUAACCAAGUGAGUGGCGGACGGGUGAGUAACACGUGGGUAACCUGCCCAUUAGAGGGGGAUAACAUUCGGAAACGGAUGCUAAUACCGCAUAGUUUCAGGGAUCGCAUGAUUCUUGAAGGAAAGGUGGCUCCGGCUACCACUAAUGGAUGGACCCGCAGCGUAUUAGCUAGUUGGUGAGGUAAUGGCUCACCAAGGCAAUGAUACGUAGCCGACCUGAGAGGGUGAUCGGCCACACUGGGACUGAGACACGGCCCAGACUCCUACGGGAGGCAGCAGUAGGGAAUCUUCCGCAAUGGACGAAAGUCUGACGGAGCAACGCCGCGUGAGUGAAGAAGGUUUUCGGAUCGUAAAACUCUGUUGUUAAAGAAGAACAAGGAUGAGAGUAACUGCUCAUCCCCUGACGGUAUUUAACCAGAAAGCCACGGCUAACUACGUGCCAGCAGCCGCGGUAAUACGUAGGUGGCAAGCGUUGUCCGGAUUUAUUGGGCGUAAAGCGAGCGCAGGCGGUUCUUUAAGUCUGAUGUGAAAGCCCCCGGCUCAACCGGGGAGGGUCAUUGGAAACUGGAGAACUUGAGUGCAGAAGAGGAGAGUGGAAUUCCACGUGUAGCGGUGAAAUGCGUAGAUAUGUGGAGGAACACCAGUGGCGAAGGCGACUCUCUGGUCUGUAACUGACGCUGAGGCUCGAAAGCGUGGGGAGCAAACAGG